UACGGAGGGUGCAAGCGUUAUCCGGAUUCACUGGGUUUAAAGGGUGCGUAGGCGGGCAGGUAAGUCAGUGGUGAAAUCCUUGAGCUUAACUCGAGAACUGCCAUUGAUACUAUCUGUCUUGAAUAUUGUGGAGGUAAGCGGAAUAUGUCAUGUAGCGGUGAAAAUGCUUAGAUAUGACAUAGAACACCUAUUGCGAAGGCAGCUUACUACGCAUAUAUUGACGCUGAGGCACGAAAGCGUGGGGAUCAAACAGG
rnacentral:rRNA from 1 species